UGUCAUGCUUUUCCACAGCUUUCUUGAACUUCUUCUUCUUCAUCUUCUGCUUGAUUUUGGCUUAGAAGUUCAAGAAAGCUGUGGGAGAACAUGGCA
rnacentral:pre_miRNA from 1 species